rnacentral:rRNA from 1 species
UUCCAGACUCCUACGGGAGGCAGCAGUGAGGAAUAUUGGUCAAUGGGCUUACGCCUGAACCAGCCAAGUCGCGUGAGGGAAGACUGCCCUAUGGGUUGUAAACCUCUUUUGUCAGGGAGCAAUUGGCGCUACGUGUAGCGUUAUCGAGAGUACCUGAAGAAAAAGCAUCGGCUAACUCCGUGCCAGCAGCCGCGGUAAUACGGAGGAUGCGAGCGUUAUCCGGAUUUAUUGGGUUUAAAGGGUGCGUAGGCGGGCUGUUAAGUCAGCGGUCAAAGGUCGGGGCCCACCCCCGGCCUGCCGUUGAAACUGGCGGCCUCGAGUGGGCGAGAAGUAUGCGGAAUGCGUGGUGUAGCGGUGAAAUGCAUAGAUAUCGCGCAGAACUCCGAUUGCGAAGGCAGCAUGCCGGCUCCACACUGACGCUGAGGCACGAAAGUGCGGGGAUCGAACAGGAUUAGAUACCCCUGUAUAC